rnacentral:rRNA from 1 species
AGAUUGAACGCUGGCGGCAGGCCUAACACAUGCAAGUCGAGCGGUAGAGAGGUGCUUGCACCUCUUGAGAGCGGCGGACGGGUGAGUAAUGCCUAGGAAUCUGCCUAGUGGUGGGGGAUAACGUUCGGAAACGGACGCUAAUACCGCAUACGUCCUACGGGAGAAAGCGGGGGACCUUCGGGCCUCGCGCCAUUAGAUGAGCCUAGGUCGGAUUAGCUAGUUGGUGAGGUAAUGGCUCACCAAGGCGACGAUCCGUAACUGGUCUGAGAGGAUGAUCAGUCACACUGGAACUGAGACACGGUCCAGACUCCUACGGGAGACAGCAGUGGGGAAUAUUGGACAAUGGGCGAAAGCCUGAUCCAGCCAUGCCGCGUGUGUGAAGAAGGUCUUCGGAUUGUAAAGCACUUUAAGUUGGAGGAAGGUUAGUAAGUUAAUACGUUGCAAUUUGACGUUACGACAGAAUAAGCACCGGCUAACGUUCGUAGCCUAGCAGCCG